AUCCAGCUGACGAGUCCCAAACAGGACGAAACAUGCGUCCUGAAU
rnacentral:hammerhead_ribozyme from 1 species